AGGAAUGCGACGAUCAGGAGAAGUACAACAGUCUGCACAUCUACAGAGAGGAUGGAUAGGUGAGAGCCAUCUGAUGUGUCCUGUAUGGAAAUGCCCCUGUGAGCAAUGAGCUGAACCUAUCUUUUUGAAAAGAUAUCAGUAGGCGUCAUCGGCCUCCCGCCGUUAUCGGGAUAUGAGCGAGAUCGUUCGAGGUUGUUUGUUAUGUCUUUGCAGCCAAGACGAUCUAAGCAGAGUGGAACCACGGUAAACCCGUCUCUGUC
rnacentral:ncRNA from 1 species